rnacentral:rRNA from 1 species
GAUGAACGCUAGCUACAGGCUUAACACAUGCAAGUCGAGGGGUAACGAGAGGAAAGCUUGCUUUCCUUGUCGACGACCGGCGCACGGGUGAGUAACGCGUAUCCAACCUGCCCCCAACUAGGGAAUAACCUUGCGAAAGUAAGACUAAUACCCUACAAUUUCCUCAGAUGUCAUCUGACGAGGAAUAAAGAUUUAUCGGUUGUGGAUGGGGAUGCGUAUGAUUAGCUUGUUGGCGGGGUAACGGCCCACCAAGGCAACGAUCAGUAGGGGUUCUGAGAGGAAGGUCCCCCACAUUGGAACUGAGACACGGUCCAAACUCCUACGGGAGGCAGCAGUGAGGAAUAUUGGUCAAUGGGCGGAAGCCUGAACCAGCCAAGUAGCGUGCAGGAUGACGGCCCUAUGGGUUGUAAACUGCUUUUAUACAGGAAUAAAGUUAGCCACGUGUGGUUAUUUGUAGGUACUGUAUGAAUAAGGACCGGCUAAUUCCGUGCCAGCCGCCGCGGUAA